AAGGGAGAUAGGGAGAUCCAGUCUGCCACGUCUAACCACUAUGCCUGCACCUAUCUUUCAAGAUCUUUAAAAAGGAGUCAUUUCCUAUGGGACUGUUAGAAAUAGAAAAGCAGAAGAAUUACAGAAGGUGGCCUGGUUAACAGAUGCCGAAUAUUCCCACUAUGGUCUCCACAAAGAAGUUCUAAAAUUGUCUGAAAUGAUCAGGUAUUGGAGAGUAACACUUCUGGAUGGGGAUUCACAGCAGCUGGCACCAUGGGAGGACUGAACAGAUAAUAACGAACGCCCAAGAAAGAAGGGUGCAUUUUCUCUUGUGUGGAUCUGUUGUCAUGGAUUCCGACACCAAAACUAAUUUCCAUCGUGAGGUGUCUUCUUCAACCCAGGCUUCAAAAGAACAGCCUGCUCUGGGGAAGAUGUUAUUUCACAGAAUGGUUUAAUUUGUGAGCGCUCAUCCAGGCCCUAGCAAUCCCUGCAUUCCAGCCACGCUACGGCUGGACAGGAUCAGAAUUCAUAGCACCUAAACCUCCUAACUAUGUCUGUGUGAGUUUUCAAUAACCCUUUUUCAA